ACUCAGACCAUGUUGCCUUGGGCAAAUCAGAAAAGUAGAAGCUUUGUCUGUAUUUGUGGACUAAGAAAAUAUACAUCCGGAGGGGAGCCAAGAUGGCCGAAUAGGAACAGCUCCGGUCUACAGCUCCCAGCGUGAGCGACCCAGAAGACGGGUGAUUUCUGCAUUUCCAUCUGAGGUACCGGGUUCAUCUCACUAGGGAGUGUCAGACAGUGGGCGCAGUUUGGAGUUGUUGCUACCUGUGUCUACCCAGCCAAGGACUUUAUGCCUCAGGCCUUCAUAUUCAGGUAAAUCCACACAACCAGUUCUUCACAACAGAGAUAUGAGCAGAAUUGAUGGUGAUGCUCUGGGCUGGAGCCUAUAAGAAGCACGUGGGCCUGUCCAUCUUUUUUCCCUUUUGCUGGAAAGGAAGGCAUGUAUUGCAGGACAUGUUUCUCAUGAAAAUUUUGGAAAUGUGAAAUUACAGAAAAGCCCAAAGGAAAACAAUGAAAAUCUCUUGCAACUACAGUACUUAGAAAAAUGCCUAUUAUCAUUUUGUUUUAUAUCCCUGCUGUCUUUAUAUGUACAACUUGCAUUUUGCAAGAGUUUAGAAAGUUGUAACCUUAUUUUUUAAAUCAGUGCAUAACUAAUAUUUUUUAUGCUAUUAAAAUAUUAUUUUAAGAUGUAAUAUCUAAUCACAUGUCUGCAUCAUAAUCUACUUAAUCUCCCCUUGUUCACAAUUAAGUAGUUUCCAAUUUUUCACUAUCAAAGUAAUGCUACAACAAGAAGGAUAUCCUGGUAUAUAAAUAAUUUUACACAACACAGUUAUUUCCUUGACAUAAAUACCUAGAAUAGAAUUAGUCAAACAUAAGAAAUUAAUAUUUAAUACCUCCGAUACAUCCUGCCAUGCUGCCCACAAAAAGACCAUACCAAGUUACACCACCACCGAAAAUGUGUUAAAGGAUCAGUUUGCUCAAAACUUAAAUAAAAUAGAGUAAGUUAUUUUAUAUCUACACAUUUAAUGAGUUGAAAUGUAUCCUCUGCAUUACUUUCACAUGUACUUCUGCCAAUUAAUAUAAAAUUCAUGUGUGCAAAAAUUAAAUAAUAGAGUAACACAUCAUUACAGAUUCCAAAAAAAGCAAAAAAUAUUUACUAAUUGCACAAUUACUAAUUGUAAGUCACUUUUUUGGACAUCUUCCUAAAUAGUAUGUCUUUUCUUUAUAAUAUAAUGUCUUUAUUAAGGGUACACUGAAUUUGACAGUUUGGCCUAAGUGUGACAAACAACUAAUUGAGACUAAAAUACUAUGAAGGCUCUCAAAAUGACAAAUGAUUUCCAUCUGUGUCUCCAUUGUUUCAAAUUUGAUUCAUAUAUUGCUUAUCAGUAACAUAAGUAAUUCUUAUUUUUUUCAUUUCUACUCACUUUUGUGAAAUGAAAAGGACAAAAUAUGAUGAAACAUUCAAAUAAUUUCAUAUACAUUACUAUGUUGAGAGAGAUAGAAGCACUGCUGAAACUGAAAUACAUAUUGGCAGACUAGCAGCACCAACCUACCACAUUUAAAAAUAUUAUUUUACCAUGUGAAUGUUCACAUUAAAUAUAAUAAAGAUAAUUUAGGAAUAUCAAUGUCAUGCCUAGUCAAGUAUAUGAAAGCCAUAUAAUCUCAUUGAUGCUUUAUUUCUCAUAUCUUUGAUUGCUAGCAAUGGUGAGCCCAUUUCCAUAAGUGUUUUGGCCACUGAGGUUCUUUGUGAAUUUUCAAUUCAUGUAUUUUGUCUGUAUUAUGUUGGAAUGUGCAUAAUUUGUUUAUUGAGUUAUAAAUGCUACUUACAUAUUCAGAAUAUAAAAACCAUUAUAGUUGAUGUGAAUAAAAAUACCUAGUUGGCUAAAUGUCUUUAGGUUUUAUGUUGUUUUUUUUAUAAUGGAUCUGCAGACAUUUUUAAUUUUCAUGUAUAUAUUCAAAUAUCUUGAUAUGAUUUGGCUCUGUGUCCCCGCCCAAAUCUCAUGUCAAAUUGUUAGACCUGGUGGAAAGUGAUUGGAUCAUGGGGAUGGUUUCUAAUGACUUAGCAUCAUCCCCUUAAUGCUGUCUCAUGAUAGAAUUCUCGCAAGAUCUGGUUGUUUAAAAGCGUGCGGCACCUCCCCUUCUCGCUCUCUUCAUCUUGCUCCAGUCAUGUAAGAUGCACCUGCUUCCUUUUUGCCUUCUGCCAUGAUUGUAAGUCUCCUGAGGCUUCCCCAGUCAUGCUUCUUGUACACCUCAUGGAACCGUGAGCCAAUUAAACCUCU
rnacentral:lncRNA from 10 species